ACGCUGGCGCAGGCUUAACACAUGCAAGUCGAGCGGGGAAAAGUAGCUUGCUACUUAACUUAGCGGCGGACGGGUGAGUAAUACUUAGGAAUCUGCCUAUUAGUGGGGGACAACAUUUCGAAAGGAAUGCUAAUACCGCAUACGUCCUACGGGAGAAAGCAGGGGAUCACUUGUGACCUUGCGCUAAUAGAUGAGCCUAAGUCGGAUUAGCUAGUUGGUGGGGUAAAGGCCUACCAAGGCGACGAUCUGUAGCGGGUCUGAGAGGAUGAUCCGCCACACUGGGACUGAGACACGGCCCAGACUCCUACGGGAGGCAGCAGUGGGGAAUAUUGGACAAUGGGGGGAACCCUGAUCCAGCCAUGCCGCGUGUGUGAAGAAGGCCUUUUGGUUGUAAAGCACUUUAAGCGAGGAGGAGGCUACUCUAGUUAAUACCUAGGGAUAGUGGACGUUACUCGCAGAAUAAGCACCGGCUAACUCUGUGCCAGCAGCCGCGGUAAUACAGAGGGUGCGAGCGUUAAUCGGAUUUACUGGGCGUAAAGCGUGCGUAGGUGGCCAAUUAAGUCAAAUGUGAAAUCCCCGAGCUUAACUUGGGAAUUGCAUUCGAUACUGGUUGGCUAGAGUAUGGGAGAGGAUGGUAGAAUUCCAGGUGUAGCGGUGAAAUGCGUAGAGAUCUGGAGGAAUACCGAUGGCGAAGGCAGCCAUCUGGCCUAAUACUGACACUGAGGUACGAAAGCAUGGGGAGCAAACAGGAUUAGAUACCCUGGUAGUCCAUGCCGUAAACGAUGUCUACUAGCCGUUGGGGUCUUUGAGACUUUAGUGGCGCAGCUAACGCGAUAAGUAGACCCCCUGGGGAGUACGGUCGCAAGACUAAAACUCAAAUGAAUUGACGG
rnacentral:rRNA from 1 species